UCCCAUACAGAUUCAUAGAUGGGCAAAUAGACAAAUGCGAUUAUUGGCAUUAUCGAAGGGAAAAAAUUAUUAAAUAAUGUGCGCACACAAAUUCAUACAAUUUGCAAUGUUUACUAAAGAGAAGACUAAAAGAGUGAGGAGAAAGUAAUCGUAUUGAGCAGAACCAUCCAUUUAUCCAUCCGCAUAUUUUUUCGUUCUUAUAGCUGUUGGUGUUUUGGACUUUCUGACAAAUAUAAAGCAAAGCCGACAACUUGUAUUUUGGGAAUUGGGCCAGUCAGCCAGCAGCCAAACAAAUAAAGUUAAGAAGAUUAAAAGCAGAAACGGAUUUGAUUGUUAAAAGAGAAAUGCCAACAAAAUCACAACAAAUUAAAUAUGGCCUGAUAUGACACAGUUUAGCCGACGCCGUGAUUUGAACACAUGAUCUCAUGUUUGGUAGUCUUGCACGCGUUUCUAGCCUACUGACAUCAUCUUCCUUAUGAUGAAAUAACUCAAUAAAUUUGACUACCCAGCAAUAAGUGUCUCAAUUAAUUAAAUUUACAAAAAAGAGAUAAUAAUUAAUUAAAUUUUCUUUAAUACGAAAUACAUAUUUUUUU